rnacentral:rRNA from 1 species
UACGUAGGGUGCAAGCGUUAAUCGGAAUUACUGGGCGUAAAGCGUGCGCAGGCGGUUUUGUAAGUCAGAUGUGAAAUCCCCGGGCUUAACCUGGGAACUGCGUUUGAAACUACAAGGCUAGAGUGUGGCAGAGGGGGGUGGAAUUCCACGUGUAGCAGUGAAAUGCGUAGAGAUGUGGAGGAACACCGAUGGCGAAGGCAGCCCCCUGGGUUAACACUGACGCUGAAGCACGAAAGCGUGGGGAGCAAACAGG